rnacentral:rRNA from 1 species
GACGAACGCUGGCGGCGUGCUUAACACAUGCAAGUCGAACGGACAGGCGCUGCUUUUGUGGGGUGCUCGUGUGGCGAACGGGUGAGUAAAACGUGAGUAACCUGUCCUUGUCUGUGGGAUAAAUUCUGGAGACUGGGGCUCAUACCGGAUAGGAGCUUCUGCUGCAUGGUGUGGGAUGGUAAAAUACGGCGGUUGGGGAUGGUAUAGCGCUGUAUCAGCUAGUUGAUAAGGUAGUGGCUUACACAGGCUUUGACGGAUAGCCGACCUGAGAGGGUGAUUGGCCACACUGGAACUGAGACACGGUCAAGACUCCUACGGGAGGCAGCAGUAGGGAAUCGUCCGCAAUGGGCGAAAGCCUGACGGAGCAACGCCGCGUGAGUGAUGAAGGUCUUCGGAUCGUAAAACUCUGUUAUUAGGGAAGAACAUAUGUGUAAGUAACUGUGCACAGCUUGACGGUACCUAAUCAGAAAGCCACGGCUAACUACGUG